rnacentral:rRNA from 1 species
UACAGAGACUGCAAGCGUUACUCGGAUUCACUGGGCGUAAAGGGAGCGCAGGCGGACUCAUGUGUCGGACGUGAAAUACCGGGGCUUAACCCCGGUGCUGCGUCCGAAACUAUGAGUCUAGAGACUUGGAGGGGUAAGCGGAAUUCUUGGUGGAGCAGUGAAAUGCGUAGAUAUCAAGAGGAACACCAACGGCGAAGGCAGCUUACUGGACAAGAUCUGACGCUCAGGCUCGAAAGCGUGGGGAGCAAAAGGGAUUAGAUACCCCUGUAGUCCACGCUGUAAACGGUGCGCAUUAGGUCUUGGAGCUUUCGAACGCUCCAGGGCUCAAGCUAACGCAUUAAAUGCGCCGCCUGAGGACUACGGCCGCAAGGCUAAA